UACGUAGGGCGCAAGCGUUGUCCGUAAUUAUUGGGCGUAAAGAGCUCGUAGGCGGUUUGUCGCGUCUGCUGUGAAAGCCCGGGGCUCAACCCCGGGUCUGCAGUGGGUACGGGCAGACUAGAGUGCAGUAGGGGAGACUGGAAUUCCUGGUGUAGCGGUGAAAUGCGCAGAUAUCAGGAGGAACACCGAUGGCGAAGGCAGGUCUCUGGGCUGUAACUGACGCUGAGGAGCGAAAGCAUGGGGAGCGAACAGG
rnacentral:rRNA from 1 species